GUAUAGCUUUAGAAUUACAUAGAAUAUUGAGCAUACGGGAGAGAUUUUUCAUCUCUCCAUAUGCUCGAAGGAGGGAAAUCAUAAGGAUAAUAUUAGAAAAUAAGUAUUGUUUUAUUAGUUUUAGGGAUAAGAAGUAAAGUGGCUGCUUGAGAAAGAAGUGGAGUUUGAAGCAGAACUGAGAGAGCGUGUUAAUUUCAGAUGUGACAGUUAUAACCGUUUUUCUGUGUCUAGCAGUUGGGAGUUGGGCUCUGGCAGUUGGCAGAGAGACUCUCUCUCAGGACUGGAGGAGAAGCCACUGAAGCCAGUUCUGCUCUCCAAACAGAAGUGAAAGAUGUCCUCGGGAGCCCUGAGGAGCUUUCAGCAUCUCUUUAGGGCUGUAAGUCAAACCACAUGAAGCAAUUAGAGGAGAAGAUUAAUUGAUGUGACCUGAAAUGCUAACUAAAUGGUCAAACGAAGGAGAAAUCAAAACCAGUUUGAAGUUCUCCCUACUACCAUCACCACUGAGAAGUCAAGAAAGACACAAACCAUCACAAAUAUGUAUAAUCAUCAAACCAAAUUCCCUCAUUAGCCAUAUCCAAAAAAGGAUGGAAGGAAAGAAAGAAAAGAAAAGAUGGAAGGAAGGAAGGAGGAAGGAUGGGAAGACUAUAACAUUCUAUACCAUAACUUGUUUAGCCAUUCUGCAAUUAAUGGGCAUCCCCUCGGUUUCCAAUUCUCUGAAACCACAAAAAGAGCUGCUAUAAAUAUUUUUGUAUAUAUGGGUCCUUUUCCUCUUUAUUUGAUCUCUUUGGAAUAUGGACCUUGUAGCUGGGUCAAGGGGUAUGCACAAUUUAAUAGCUUUUUGGAGAUAAUUCCAAAUUGCUUUCCAUAAUGGUUGGACCAGUUCACAUCUCUACCAAUAGAACAUUAAAGUACUUUCCCCCACAAUUCCUCCAGUAUUUUUCAUUUUCUGUUAGUGUCAACUUUGCCAGUCUGAUGGGUUUGAGGUGGUACUUCAGAAUUGCUUUUAAUGUUAUUUCUUUAAUUACUUGUGAUUUAAAGCAUUCUUCAUAUGGCUAUUGAUCA
rnacentral:lncRNA from 1 species